rnacentral:tRNA from 1 species
UCCCUGAUGGUUCAAUGGUUAGGAUUCUGUUCUUUCACUGCCGGGAGCCAGGGUUCAAUCCCUGGUCAGGGAA